AAAAAAUUAGUUAAAAAUAUAACAUUAGUAUGUCAAACUAAAAUUAUUAGGCUUCUGAUAUUUUUUA
rnacentral:tRNA from 1 species